rnacentral:rRNA from 1 species
UACGUAGGGUGCGAGCGUUAAUCGGAAUUACUGGGCGUAAAGCGUGCGCAGGCGGUCUCGUAAGCUGGGUGUGAAAGCCCCGGGCUUAACCUGGGAAUUGCAUUCAGGACUGCAAGGCUCGAGUGUGGCAGAGGGGGGUAGAAUUCCACGUGUAGCAGUGAAAUGCGUAGAGAUGUGGAGGAACACCGAUGGCGAAGGCAGCCUCCUGGGUCAGCACUGACGCUCAUGCACGAAAGCGUGGGGAGCAAACAGG